rnacentral:rRNA from 1 species
ACCUGGUUGAUCCUGUCCAGUUAUGAUAUGCUUAUCUCAAAGACUAAGCCAUGCAUGCCUAAGUUCAUACCUUUACACGGUGAAACUGCGAAUGGCUCAGUAAAUCAGUUAUAGUUUAUUUGAUUGUACCGAAUGCCUUGCGCAUACAUUGGAUAACUGUGGGAAACUAGAGCUAAUACAUGUCAACUGCUCUCACGGGGGAGCGUGCAUUUAUUCGCCUAGAAAACCAGCACGCCACGGCUCAAGCCCGGUUGGGAGCAAUCUCGGCCGGUUGUACGGUCGUGGCGUUCACGAUGACUCUGAAUAACUGACUGCUGAUCGUAUAAGGCCUUGUGCCUACGACAUUUCAAUCAAAUUUCUGCCCUAUCAUACUUGUUGGUAGCGUAGCGGCCUACCAAGGUGAUGACGAGUAACGGGGAAUCAGGGUUCGAUUCCGGAGAGGGAGCAUUAGAAACGGCUACCACAUCCAAGGAUGGCAGCAGGCGCGCAAACUAUCCAAUCCAGACAAUGGGAGAUGGUGACGAGACAUAUUGGAUCUCACUGGCAUUGCCGGUAGAGUUACCAGAAUGACCGUAAUUUAGACACUUCGUGGACGACUACGGGAGGGCAAGUCUGGUGCCAGCAGCCGCGGUAAUACCAGCUCCUGUAGCAUAUAUAAUUGUUGUUGCGGUUAAAAAGCUCGUAGUUGGAUUACAGUGCGUUCAAGUGAUGGUUCGGCGGUAUAGCUACCUCUGGUAGUUGUGCAGUACUGUAGCGCUCAGGAUGGCAGCGCUGAGUGUGGCACUUGGUCUGCCAGCCGGCCCCUUCUCACAUUUCGGUGUGAGGCAGGAAGCCGGCUGGAUCACGGGCCAGUGCAUUACGCUCAGUGUGUUAAAACCCGUCCGGGCCUAACAGCAGUGCUGUACGCAUAUCUUGCUGAAACAUCUCGAGAGCGCGCUUUCUCGUUAGACCCUGGUGAUGAUACUCUUAAGUGGGUACACCAGACGUCUGGCGAAUUGUGCCUUGAGUAAAAUAGAGUGCUCCAAGCAGGCGUGAGUAAAAUCAAUCGCCCGUAUACUCCAGCAUGGAACGAAUGUUCAAUUGCUUCAACCACCCCAUCGGCCUAGUUAGCUGGUUUUGAACUCAUGCAAACGGCAGUGGGGGGGUCCAGGCAACUGGGUCCUCAUUGUCGGCUACGGCCAUGUCCGCGGAACGGUGUACCUGCUGUUACGACCGUGCCUUUGGCUGUUUGCAGAUGGAUAGAUGUCUGAUGCAGUGCUGGGUGGAGACGCCCCACCUUCAGCAUCACCUCUGCGACCCUGGGCUGCGGAACCGUCGGCAGGACCAAUGCGCCUUCCGUGUAUGGGUAUUGGUUAACAGAGACAUUUGGGGGCAUUAGUAUUUGGCCGCGAGAGGUGAAAUUUUUAGACCGGCCGAAGACUAACAAUUGCGAAAGCAUUUGCCAAAGAUGUUUUCAUUAAUCAAGAACGAAAAUUGGAGGAUCAAAGAUGAUUAGAUACCGUCGUAGUUCCAAUUGUAAACUAUGCCAACCAGGGCUCAGGCCGGAUCGUAAUGUUAUAUUGUGGAUCCAGGUUGGACCCUCCGGGAAACCUAAAGUUUUUGGGUUCCGGGGGGAGUAUGGUCGCAAGGCUGAAACUUAAAGGAAUUGACGGAAGGGCACCACCAGGAGUGGAGCCUGCGGCCUAAUUUGACUCAACACGGGGAAUCUCACCAGGUCCGGACAUCGGAAGGAUUGACAGACUGACAGAUCUUUCAUGAUUCGGUGGAUGGUGGUGCAUGGCCGUUCUUAGUUGGUGGAGUGAUUUGUCAGGUUAAUUCCGGUAACGAACGAGACCGAUUCCUUUAUUUUGGCCGUAUGAAGUUUUCAUUCGUGCGCCCUGGCAAUCAAGGCCUUGUCCGUUGGACUUGUUGGAGAGUCCGGCGCACUGGUUGUCCACACUGGGUUGGCUUGUGGUCCGGGUGCUGCAUCAGCAAAGGCUGCCGUGGUGUUUCAUGGCCGUUAGCUAGCGGCUCGGUUAUUAUGAUCGCUGUGAUGGCUGGUCAGAACGCUGCCGUACUGCGGUUGUGGUGCCACGGUGGUUUGGUGUAGUCCGGGUCUCGGACCUUCUUAGUGGCUGUGGCAGCUUGGGUGCCGGGAAGGAAGGCAAAUCAUCCGGCGGAUAGGGUCUGCCAGGGUCUCGAUGAGUGUUCGUGCGCCUUCAUAGAGGGACCACCGGUUGCAAACCGGGGGAAGUACGGCAAUAGCAGGUCAGUGAUGCCCUUAGAUGUUCUGGGCUGCACGCGCGCUACAAUGGUAACGACAAUGAGUUUCUGCAUCGAAAGGUGUGGGUAAUCUUGUAAAUCGUUGCCGUGCUGGGGAUUGAGCCUUGAAAUUAUUGCUCAUGAACCUGGAAUUCCUUGUAAGUACGAGUCACCAACUCGUGCUGAAUACGUCUCUGCCCUUUGUACACACCGCCCGUCGCUACUACCGAUUGAAUGACUUGGUGAGGACAUGGGAUUGAUCGACUCCUUAGUGAGACGGUUGAGAGCCUGUCCAAAUUGCGUCACUCARAGGAAGUAAAAGUCGUAACAAGGUUUCCGUAGGUGAACCAGCGGAAG